ensembl:lncRNA
GUAUUUAUACUCUGGUGUACUCACCAGUUCCUGAGCGUGGGCUGGACCCAUCGACUUCAUUCUAACCAGUGGAAUUGGGGUGGGGGGGUGUGAGGGAGUCAUUUCCACGAUUAGGUCACCAGCAGACAUGUCCUCUCCUUUGACGAUUCUCCUCUGCUUUUUCCCGGGUCAGUCUCCGUGGGGUGAACCACCUCUCCCGUCAUGAAACAACCGUGGUGGAAUGUUGUCCGCAAAGACGGGUGGAAGCCACAGCUGCUUGAGUGAACUGGCAGGUGGAUCCCGUUGUAGUUGGAUCUGGAUAUGACUGGAGCUGGGCCAACACCUUGACCACAGCCCACGGCAAUGCUGAGCCAGGAGGGACCCAACCAAGCCGCAUCAGGUUCCCGACUGCAGUGUGAGAGACUCUGGAACCCCAGACUUACAGCGAGAUCUUGCUUCGAUGGAAUGCUGGAGAUCCUGGAGGCCUCUCUCCUUCUUUUGGAGAUAAGAAAAGUCAAGAGCAGAUGGGCAGAUGCGGCAACACGAGACCAUCCCAGUGCCCAGGUCCGAGGCACUUUGAUGUCAACUGGGCCAUCAGCAGACUCACUUGUUUGGUGGGACACGUGAGGAGGUGAGGGCAUUCUGAGCCCGUCCUAGGAAAGAUAGCACGUGUGAAAAUCAAAUGACCUGCCGUCCAGCUAAUGGUGAAGCCUCAGACAUUCUGAAUCCUGGUCAUCAUUGUGCCUGCACUCAGGCCUCAGCUGUGACUCCCCACUGAAACCAAGCUAACUCUAUCUCUAGCUUCUAAACUGAACCCUGUCUCUACCCUAACCCUAACCCUGUCUCUAAACCUAAUCCAACGAUAACCCUCACUCUAACCUUAACCCAAACCCCAAACACAUCCCCAACCCUACCUUGAG